UACGGAGGGGGCUAGCGUUGUUCGGAAUUACUGGGCGUAAAGCGCACGUAGGCGGCGAUUUAAGUCAGAGGUGAAAGCCCGGGGCUCAACCCCGGAAUAGCCUUUGAGACUGGAUUGCUAGAAUCUUGGAGAGGCGAGUGGAAUUCCGAGUGUAGAGGUGAAAUUCGUUAGAUAUUCGGAAGAACACCAGUGGCGAAGGCGGCUGCGCUGGACAAGUAUUGACGGCUG
rnacentral:rRNA from 1 species